rnacentral:lncRNA from 11 species
CUUCAUAUGAUUUGGUUUCCAGAUCUCCUGUUUCAGCCUGUCAAUAUCCUUCUGCAACGGUGUUUUCUAGAACUGGACCAGUGUUCCAGAGAAGAUCUGACAGAAUAUUCAUUCUUAGAACUGUCUCUGUGUGAAGAUAGAUGCUUUUAAACAUUACUGGAAUGCAAGUCGCUUCUAGUGUGAGAGAAUUGGCCGUCUACAGGGACGUUGGCCAGGGGAUGCCUGGAUAUUUGAUAUUUUUAGCAUCCUUGUGGGAGGCUUCUCUCAUGUCUUCACAUGGAGCUGGAGCUGAUAGAGGGAGCUCAACCGUGCUCUCCCCUGGUUGGAUUCGAACCAGCUACCUUCAGGUCAGCAACCCAAUCUUCAAGUCAUCAGUCUUGUUAGCACAAGGGUUUAACCCACUGCACCACCGGGGGCCCAUCCAAACUGAGAAAAGGACUUCUGUUGCACUAAAGGAGAACCUCCUGCAGGUAUUAUUAAAAACAGUCAUCUCUUUCUGGGACAGUUUUGCUACCUGAAAUGAUUUUUCUAAAAAUAGGUGCUAAAAGCAUGUGAGACACUUCAAAUUCUUCCCUUCCUCUUGAAGCUCUGCGUGCCUUACAAAUCGCCCACUCAGGGAACACCCAGUUAUGCAUCCUGCAGUG